AAGUGUGGAGUGCUCCAGAUGCAGGAUCCGAAACAGCCUGUGAAAAUUUGAACGAUAUAUGCUAGGACCUUAUGGCGAACGCAUAUUCGUAAAAGAUGACCAAUACCCACCCGGCUUCACGCUAGAAAAUCGAUUGCAAAUGCUGAAAUGCAUGCAAGGACAAGAAGGCCGUUUGAUUAUCAAACUCAUUUCCAAGAAUAAAUAAAUGCAUUCCUUCUAACUCUGCGUGUGCCUAAUUUUCGUUAAGUAAAAGUAUCUGUUAUGCACAACCACUAUCUGAUAAAGUCUUACAAUACCUAUUAUUUUCUAACUCAAAAUAGGAAAAAUGCCGAAUGGUCUCUCCAAAAAUACAGCCAGUAAAUGUUUGUACGUUUAAUUUAGCAUGGGUAUUUCGGAGUGCACGCGUCCUUGUGUGGGGCAUGCAUGCAAGCACUAUUCUAUGGAUGGACACCUCCCUCUCUAGAAGGCCCACUUUUUUUUAUAUAUAUUUAGGUAACGCUUGCCUAUUUUGUAAGCCGACACGUAGCAAGUAUGUGUCUCUUUGAUGGGGCAUCCUGUUAAUCUCUCCUACUGCUUAAACACUAUAAAUAGGGGAGGUUCCCUUCUUCUGCAAUCAGUUCCUAUAGUUACUAAACCAUCAAAGCAUGCUCCAUGGUCUCUGAGCACACACCAAGAUGGACUUGCCUCUCCUCAAAGAUAUCAACAAGCAAUCAUUUAGAUGGAAAGUUAUGGCCAGGAUCGCAAGAGUCUGGGAGCUCAAAAGAAAAGACACAGGAACUACCUAUGAGGUGGACUUCCUGCUGCUUGAUCGACAGGGUGGCACAAUGGAAGGUUUGAUUCCAGAGAAGAGAAUGGCCCAAUUUAUGAAGCACAUCACCGAGGGAACAAUUUAUACAAUUGAGGACUUCAAUCUAUAUGAUGCCAAGAGCAAGUUUAGAUCUUCAGAUCACCCCCUCAGGGUAUGUUUCACAUUUCGCACUAAGCUUAAAAAAGUGGAGCCCCAACCCGUGAAUUUCCCAAUAUUUGCCCACAACGACAGGCCAUUCUCUGUUCUGGAAGCACGUGCUGAUCAGAACUUCAUCUUAUCAGAUGUUAUUGGAGUAAUCGUGCAAGUCACAGAACUCUUGCCAGGCUCCAGCGCAAACCCUGAUGAGCGCUGUCAGAUCUACAUCACUGAUGGAAACCAGCGGGCUGUGGUGACACUUUGGGGGACACACGCCACUACUUUCAACACCGCGGGCCUCGUGGAGAGCUCUGCCACGCAGCAUAUCGUUGCUCUUUUUGUAGGUGUUACAGUGAGUCACUAUUCAGGUUUACUCGCUUUCAAAUCGACAUCAGUGACCAAAUUAUAUGUUAACAUCCCAAUACCAGAAAUGGAGACCGUCAGACACAACGUGACAGGUAUUCCAUCCCAGAUUGAAUGGUUUGGUAACCAUCGAGCAAGAAAAGAGCCGGUAGAUGCAAGAAUAGCAGAAAUUGCUGAGCUUGAACCCAACCACAUCAUGGACGAACGCUACAGAUUUUCAAUUCUUGUCACUGAAGUUAUCCUAUCAAGUGACUGGUGGUACAAAAGUUGCAAAGACUGUCGAAAGAAAGUUCAAAUGGAAGGCGACACGUAUAAAUGCUCACGUUGCAUCACCACUGUUCCUAUGCCGAGAUACAAAAUAUCACUGAAUGCCAUCGAUGCGGACGCAAAAAGGCACGAAGACUCGCCAUUUGCUCGGUUCAUAUUUUGGGGCCAGCAGGGAGAAAUCCUCACAGGAAAGCAAGUACUGAUUUUAGUAGCAUAAGCCAACAGCAGGGCGGAGUAUACGCCACCCGAACUGACCGGUUUGGUUGGCAAAAAAUUUACUGUCAUUGCAACACCUACUAGAGACUCCCUAGACGGAGAGCAUAUGUUCUACCAGGUAGAAAGUACCGAACUAUUGUUCGAGCCAGCAAACCCAGAGAACGCUCAACCACCGACCGAAGAAACACAGGGUGAAAAUGAAUCACAAGACAACACGCUUGAGGCCACACCCCCGCCUUCUCCUUCUGCUGCAAAGGAAGAAGAAAACGACUCAACAGAACAAAGAAAGACCUAUUCGGUCAGCAGCCAGCCCACGCUGGCACCGAGUACACCGACCAGAACUAGGCACCUUGUAUGGGGAAAAAAUUCUGUGCGGACGGGUUGCAGACCCCUCGCUGUGCAUACCCUGUGUGAGAUGAUGCCACGUGGUCCACCUCGCCAUCCGACGAUUCACUGCUCAUCCGCUCGCUUCCUUGGUUCUCUCGGCUCAAGCGCCCUUACGUUCGGCUCCAAAACUGCCCAUCUACGUGCGAUCCUGGCUUCCGUCAAUUACGCAGUGAUUGAUUUCGAACAGAUACGGGUAGCUUCUGCUUUUUCGGUGCAGCGGCGAUUAGAUCAUGAAUUUUUCAUGGUCGAGCGACCGGAACACUGUCCUCUACGCGAUUGGAUUAGCGGCCAGUUCGCCGGCUCGACGCUCACUGGAGCGGACGGAACGGUAACCAUCUCCGCCGCGCGCCCAACGCGUCCUCUCCCUCCCAUAACCGGAUCGGGCCGGAGUAACAGCCGCGGCAGCCACGGGUCGUGCUGCAGCAGUCUAAUCGGCAUCUCAGAGUGGAGAAGGUUGGGAGUGGCCAUGGCGGAAUCUGACACCGUCGCCUCCAAGGGCGACCAUGGUGGUUCUUCUUCUGGCUUGCAGCACAUAAACAUUAAACCUCGUUGAUGAGAACAAUUGCUCCUCCACCUUGUAUCUUUCGACGUCUAUGAUGUCGCAGGCCACGACAUGUACUAUGGAUCUGCCGUGAGUCAUGUCAGCAGGAGGACACGGCCACCAUGACAGGAGAAGGAGGCCAGCAAGAUGACGCGUUCAGUCCUGACUUCAACUGAAGUUUAGGGCUAGACAAAAAUUAGCAUCCUCGCUGUGGUUGAAUAGCAAAUGAGAGAAACCAGAGAAACAAUUAUAAAUGUUUAACUACAGAUUUAUGAAGACAUCCAGAUAACAGAUGCAGACUUUUUUUUGCACGAAAUCAAAAGACAUUCCAUUAGCUAUUAUUUA